rnacentral:rRNA from 1 species
UACGAAGGGGACUAGCGUUGUUCGGAAUUACUGGGCGUAAAGCGCACGUAGGCGGAUUUGUUAGUCAGGGGUGAAAUCCCGGGGCUCAACCUCGGAACUGCCUUUGAUACUGCAAAUCUCGAGUCCGAUAGAGGUGGGUGGAAUUCCUAGUGUAGAGGUGAAAUUCGUAGAUAUUAGGAAGAACACCAGUGGCGAAGGCGGCUCACUGGCCCGUUACUGACGCUGAGGCACGAAAGCGUGGGGAGCAAACAGG